UAGUUAAUGAUGGGAAUCUUGUAGUUACUUCUUUCAUUGAGGGAUUAUUCUUACAUGCUAAACAUUUCUUACAUCUUGUAAACCCAUGAGUGGAGUCUUGACCUCUGGUAGUAUUGAAGGAUUUGAUAGUAGGUGCCAGCACAAGUUGGAGAUUAGGGGCUCUUGUGAAUAUGAUCUGUGAUUGGUGAUCAAGGAAUUUAGAAAGGAUUCCCCAGUGUUUUUUCAAAAUCUUCUGUAUUUUCAGCGCUUGAUGGUUAUAU